GAUGAACGCUAGCUACAGGCUUAACACAUGCAAGUCGAGGGGCAGCAUGUCGGUUGCUUGCAACCGAUGAUGGCGACCGGCGCACGGGUGAGUAACGCGUAUCCAACCUUCCCCAUAGUAGAGAAUAGCCCGGCGAAAGUCGGAUUAAUUCCCUAUGUUCUCCAAUGCAGACAUCUAAGUUGGAGCAAAGAUUGAUCGCUAUGGGAUGGGGAUGCGUCUGAUUAGGUUGUCGGCGGGGUAACGGCCCACCGAGCCCGCGAUCAGUAGGGGUUCUGAGAGGAAGGUCCCCCACAUUGGAACUGAGACACGGUCCAAACUCC
rnacentral:rRNA from 1 species